rnacentral:rRNA from 1 species
GAGUUUGAUCAUGGCUCAGGAUGAACGCUGGCGGCGUGCUUAACACAUGCAAGUCGAACGAACCUUCGGGUUAGUGGCGGACGGGUGAGUAACGCGUGGGAAUCUGCCCUCAGGAGGGGGAUAACGGUUGGAAACGACCGCUAAUACCCCAUAUGCCGAGAGGUGAAAUGAAUUUCGCCUGAGGAUGAGCCCGCGUCUGAUUAGCUUGUUGGUGAGGUAAUGGCUCACCAAGGCUUCGAUCAGUAGCUGGUCUGAGAGGAUGAUCAGCCACACUGGGACUGAGACACGGCCCAGACUCCUACGGGAGGCAGCAGUGGGGAAUUUUCCGCAAUGGGCGCAAGCCUGACGGAGCAACGCCGCGUGAGGGACGAAGGCCUCUGGGCUGUAAACCUCUUUUCUCAAGGAAGAAGAUAUGACGGUACUUGAGGAAUAAGCCACGGCUAAUUCCGUGCCAGCAGCCGCGGUAAUACGGGAGUGGCAAGCGUUAUCCGGAAUUAUUGGGCGUAAAGCGUCCGCAGGCGGCCUUUCAAGUCUGCUGUUAAAACGUGGAGCUCAACUCCAUCAUGGCAGUGGAAACUGAUCGGCUUGAGUAUGGUAGGGGCAGAGGGAAUUCCCGGUGUAGCGGUGAAAUGCGUAGAUAUCGGGAAGAACACCAGUGGCGAAGGCGCUCUGCUGGGCCAUUACUGACGCUCAUGGACGAAAGCCAGGGGAGCGAAAGGGAUUAGAUACCCCUGUAGUCCUGGCCGUAAACGAUGAACACUAGGUGUCGGGGGAAUCGACCCCUUCGGUGUCGUAGCUAACGCGUUAAGUGUUCCGCCUGGGGAGUACGCACGCAAGUGUGAAACUCAAAGGAAUUGACGGGGGCCCGCACAAGCGGUGGAGUAUGUGGUUUAAUUCGAUGCAACGCGAAGAACCUUACCAGGGCUUGACAUCCUGCGAACCUUUAAGAAAUUAGAGGGUGCCUUCGGGAACGCAGUGACAGGUGGUGCAUGGCUGUCGUCAGCUCGUGUCGUGAGAUGUUGGGUUAAGUCCCGCAACGAGCGCAACCCACGUUUUUAGUUGCCAGCAUUUAGUUGGGCACUCUAGAAAGACCGCCGGUGAUAAACCGGAGGAAGGUGUGGAUGACGUCAAGUCAUCAUGCCCCUUACGUCCUGGGCUACACAUGUACUACAAUGCUACGGACAAAGGGCAGCAAACUCGCGAGAGCUAGCAAAUCCCAUAAACCGUGGCUCAGUUCAGAUCGUAGGCUGCAACUCGCCUACGUGAAGUAGGAAUCGCUAGUAAUCGCAGGUCAGCAUACUGCGGUGAAUACGUUCCCGGGCCUUGUACACACCGCCCGUCACACCAUGGAAGUUGGCCACGCCCGAAGUCGUUACUUUAACCCUUGUGGAGAAGGACGCCGAAGGUGGGGCUGAUGACUGGGGUGAAGUCGUAACAAGGUAACC